GCAGCUUUAUUUGCAUGAGCUUCUGCGCUCCGCCGCUCCGGCGCUUGUUCAUAAGUCCCCACGAAUCUUUUCACACAAACUCCACUUGGAAACCGAGUCAGGAUGUGGUCGCCCGCACUCGCGCUCGUCCUUUGGACUCUGCUGAUUCCGGGAUCUUCUGCCGAUGAUUUUCUGAGGCAGACUGACAGAUUCAAGCCCGUCUCUCUUGGCGGGACGGUGAGCAUCGGUGCCACAGGGAGUUCAAAUAUCGGUGGCGAUCUCAGUUGGUACCAAGUGAAACCCGGGCAGGCUCCCAAACUGCUCAUCUCCUAUGUAUCCAGUCGCUUCUCUGGCACGCCAUCUCGAUUCAGCGGCGCGCAAUCUGGCUCGGACUACACCCUGACCAUCAAUGGUGUCCAGGCAGAAGACGUGGCCGAGUACUACUGCCUCGGGUUUCACGGCAGCGGAAGGUACACACGGUGAUUCGGAGGCGUACA